UACAGAGGUCCCAAGCGUUGUUCGGAUUCACUGGGCGUAAAGGGUGCGUAGGCGGUCGGGUAAGUCUGAUGUGAAAUCUCACAGCUUAACUGUGAAACUGCAUUGGAUACUAUCCGGCUCGAGGAAUGGAGGGGAGACUGGAAUACUUGGGUGUAGCAGUGAAAUGCGUAGAUAUCAAGUGGAACACCAGUGGCGAAGGCGAGUCUCUGGACAUUUCCUGACGCUGAGGCACGAAAGCCAGGGGAGCAAACGGG
rnacentral:rRNA from 1 species